rnacentral:rRNA from 1 species
GACGAACGCUGGCGGCGUGCUUAACACAUGCAAGUCGAACGGAGAGGCCUCUUUCUUGGGGUACUCUGGUGGCGAACGAGUGGGUAACUCGUGAGUAACCUACCCUUGUCUUUGGGGUAACUUCAGUAAACUGGCGCUUAUUCCUGAUAGAUACUCCCUCUGCAUGUUGGGGGUUGGAAAGUUUCGGUGGUUGGCGAUGGACUCGCGGCUUAUCGCCUUGUUGGAGGUGGAUGGUGUUACCAAGGCUUUGACGGGUAGCCGGCCUUAGACGGUGAACGACGACAUUGGGCCUGCGAGACGGCCCAGAAGCCUACGGGAGGCAGUAGUGGGGAAUAUUGCACAAUGGGUGGAAGUCUGUUGCAGCAACGCCGUGAGCGGGAUGACGGGCUUCGGGUUGUGAACCGCUUUCGCUCAUGACGAAGCUUUGUGUGACGGUAGUGGGUAAAGAAGCACCGGCUAACUACGUG